UGAAUACGAGACGCUAAGGCGUCGAAGUAGUGUAUGUCAUACUUCCAAGAAAAGCUUGCACUGUCAUAGAUAAAAAACGCCUGUACCAUAACCGACACAGGUGGGUAGGUAGAGUAUACUAAGGGGCGCGAGAUAACUCUCUCUAAGGAACUCGGCAAAAUAACUCCGUAACUUCGGGAGAAGGAGUGCCUUAUUCGUAAGGUUGCAAUAACAAGAUCCAAGCAACUGUUUAUCAAAAACACAGGUCUCCGCUAAGUCGUAAGACCAUGUAUGGGGGCUGACGCCUGCCCAGUGCCAGAAGGUUAAAGAAGUUGGUUAGCAAUUGCGAAGCUGAUAACUGAAGCCCUGGUGAACGGCGGCCGUAACAAUAACGGUCCUAAGGUAGCGAAAUUCCUUGUCGGGUAAGUUCCGACCCGCACGAAAGGCGUAAUGAUUUGGAUACUGUCUCGGAGAGGGGCUCGGUGAAAUAGACUUGUCUGUGAAGAUGCGGACUACCUGCACCAGGACAGAAAGACCCUAUGAAGCUUUACUGUAACUUGAAAUUGAAAUUGGACUUUAUUCGCGCAGUAUAGGUGGGAGGCGUUGAUUAUAAUCUUGUGGGAUUAUUGGAGCCAUCAGUGAGAUACCACUCUUGUAAUGUUAGAUUUCUAACUUUGAAUCAUUAUCUGGUCAAAGAACAGUUUCAGGCGGGCAGUUUGACUGGGGCGGUCGCCUCCUAAACGGUAACGGAGGCGUACAAAGGUUUCCUCUGAACGGUUAGAAAUCGUAUCUAGAGUGUAAAGGCAUAAGGAAGCUUGACUGUGAGACCUACAAGUCGAGCAGGGACGAAAGUCGGUCUUAGUGAUCUGACGGUACUGAGUGGAAAGGCCGUCACUCAACGGAUAAAAGUUACUCUAAGGAUAACAGGCUGAUCUCCCCCAAGAGUUCACAUCGACGGGGAGGUUUGGCACCUCGAUGUCGGCUCAUCGCAUCCUGGGGCGGUAGUACGUCCCAAGGGUUGGGCUGUUCGCCCAUGAAAGCGGUACGCGAGCUGGGUUCAGAACGUCGUGAGACAGUUCGGUCCAUAUCCGGUGUAGGCGUUAGAAUAUUGAGAGGAGCCUUCUUUAGUACGAGAGGACCGAGAAGGACAUACCUCUGGUGUACCAGUUAUCGUGCCAACGGUAAACGCUGGGUAGCUAUGUAUGGAGUGGAUAACCGCUGAAAGCAUCUAAGUGGGAAGCCCACCUCAAGAUAAGUAUUCUCUU
rnacentral:rRNA from 1 species